UUCACGUUUUAAACGAUAGACGGCGUUAAAUUGUUGUCCUUUUCACGUUUUAAACGGCAGACGGCGCUUGCUAGCAUAUUUUAUUUUAUAUCGAUUAGCUGUCAACGUAAUGACAUUAGAUAGAUAAAAAUCAACGAUAGCAAAGGAGGAUUUUUGUAUCCUGUUAUAAAGCAGUCAAUGUCUUGAAAGUUCACGGAAAAAGUGUUCGAGGCUAUGCUUUGAACUGUACUGUCGCCUCUCAAGCAAUGCCGAAGAGGAUAACGAACGCGAAAAUCGCAUGUCUAGACUUCUCGUUGCAAAAAAGCUGAUCUGAAAAGAAUUGCUAAAGCUACAGUCUCUGCUGGGUUUGAUCACCCUCUGUGUGGUUUCACCAAAACGACGUCCUCCACUUAAGCAGGACACGCAGGAUCGAUCAGCGCAGAAUGCCAGCCUGUUUGUCAGAUUUCUCUCUAUCGCACAAAAGUUUGGCGGUUGAAUUCAGAGAAGAAAAACCCGAAAGAAAAAAAGAAGCUGAUUGUUCUAUAUUUAUUGAGU